GACGAACGCUGGCGGCGUGCUUAACACAUGCAAGUCGAACGAAGAGCGAUGGAAGCUUGCUUCUAUCACUCUUAGUGGCGCACGGGUGAGUAACGCGUAAUCAACCUGCCCUUCAGAGGGGGACAACAGUUGGAAACGACUGCUAAUACCGCAUACGAUCUAAUCUCGGCAUCGAGGAUAGAUGAAAGGUGGCCUCUACAUGUAAGCUAUCACUGAAGGAGGGGAUUGCGUCUGAUUAGCUAGUUGGAGGGGUAACGGCCCACCAAGGCGAUGAUCAGUAGCCGGUCUGAGAGGAUGAACGGCCACAUUGGGACUGAGACACGGCCCAGACUCCUACGGGAGGCAGCAGUGGGGAAUCUUCCGCAAUGGACGAAAGUCUGACGGAGCAACGCCGCGUGAGUGAUGACGGCCUUCGGGUUGUAAAGCUCUGUUAAUCGGGACGAAAGGCCUUCUUGCGAAUAGUGAGAAGGAUUGACGGUACCGGAAUAGAAAGCCACGGCUAACUACGUG
rnacentral:rRNA from 1 species